rnacentral:ncRNA from 1 species
AAAAAUAGAGGAGCAAAGCAAAUGAGUAGCAUUCGGAGAGGGCGCUCUGUGAAGAAUGUGAAAGGUAAUCUUUGCCGAACGGAGUGGCGGGGCACCGGCAUUUCGUGGGGUUAUGGAGAAUAUCCAUAAGACUGCUACAUUG